UACGUAGGGGGCAAGCGUUGUCCGGAAUUAUUGGGCGUAAAGCGCGCGCAGGCGGCUUUGUAAGUCUGGUGUUUAAACCUAGGGCUCAACCCUGGGUCGCAUUGGAAACUGCAAGGCUUGAGUGCAGAAGAGGAGAGUGGAAUUCCACGUGUAGCGGUGAAAUGCGUAGAGAUGUGGAGGAACACCAGUGGCGAAGGCGACUCUCUGGGCUGUAACUGACGCUGAGGCGCGAAAGCGUGGGGAGCAAACAG
rnacentral:rRNA from 1 species